GACGAACGCUGGCGGCGUGCUUAACACAUGCAAGUCGAACGAAGUGGCGAAAGGGUGAGUAAUACGUGGGUAACCUGCCCUCCUUUUUGGGAUAAGCCUUGGAAACGGGGUCUAAUACCGAAUAAAGUGGGCUGGGCUCGCGUCCUAUCAGCUUGGUGGUGGGGUGAUGGCCUACCAAGGCGGUGACGAGUAGCCGGCGUGAGAGGGUGCACGGCGACAGUGGCACGGAGGUACGGCCCAGACUCCUAAGGGAGACAGCAGUGGCGGAUAUUGAACAAUGGGUGAAAGCGUGACGCAGCGACGCCGCGGGGGGGAUGAAGGCUUGCUGGUUGUAAACCUCGUUCGCUACCGAACGGGGAGGUGAAGAAGAAGCGCCCGCUAACUACGUGCCAGCAGCCGCGGGAAUAC
rnacentral:rRNA from 1 species